rnacentral:rRNA from 1 species
UACGGAGGGUGCAAGCGUUAUCCGGAUUCACUGGGCUUAAAGGGUGCGUAGGCGGCCAGGUAAGUCAGUGGUGAAAUCUCCGAGCUUAACUCGGAAACUGCCUUUGAUACUCUCUGUCUUGAAUAUGGUGGAGGUAAGCGGAAUAUGUCAUGUAGCGGUGAAAUGCUUAGAGAUGACAUAGAACACCUAUUGCGAAGGCAGCUUACUACGCCUAUAUUGACGCUGAGGCACGAAAGCGUGGGGAUCAAACAGG